UUUCCUGUUUGGCUCCCGAGAAACAGCGGUAAAAGUGGAAGGGAAAACAAUAACUUUUGGAGUGUUUAUGGCAGAUUUUAGUGAAGGAAACCCUUUAGGAUGCAAAGAUUUGAGAUUUUUCUAAGCCUCUGUACUGAAUGAUUCUGCAUCAUUUUUUUUUUGAAGCAACACCUGUAAUACUUGACAGCCACCCAAAUAACAUAUAGGAACACAGGAUUCCGAUUCAAAGAUUUUCUCCGGAAACAAACAGUGGUCUGAUUUUCUCUGUUCAUCGCCGCUGUUUCUGUGACAUUUGUGCUCAAACUCUGUUUCCUUUCAAGUUACCUGCUUGCUAACUUCUGUCGGAAAUUGCAGAAAUCCGGUUUUGAAGCUGAUGGAAGAAGAUUGGAGCUACUUCUCUGAAGAUAAAGCUCUAAGCUUUGAACAAGGAAUGGACUUGCAUAACGAUGUCUUCCCCCCGACAAAUACAAAGUUGUUAAUCGGAUUUGAUCAGAAACCCUUUUACGAUUUCGAACAAAACGCGUUGAUCUCUGACACAGAAGCUGUCCAGAGCAUGGAGAUGAUGAUGCCGCUGUAUGGCUGUGA